GAGAGUAUAGCUCAGUGAUAGAGUGGGUGCCCAGCAUGCACAAGGUCCUGGGUUCAAUCCCUGGUACCUCCA
rfam:Camelus ferus unplaced genomic scaffold scaffold1676, whole genome shotgun sequence.